rnacentral:rRNA from 1 species
AAUCAACGCUGGCGGCGUGCCUCAGACAUGCAAGUCGAACGCGAAAUCCCGAGCAAUCGGGAGAGUAGAGUGGCGCACGGGUGAGUAACACGUAGGUAAUCUACCUUCGGAUGGGGAAUAACAACCGGAAACGGUUGCUAAUACCGCAUAAUGCAGCGGCACCUAAUGGUGACAGUUGUUAAAGCGGGGGAGUCGAAGACCUCGCGUCUGAAGAGGAGCCUGCGGCGGAUUAGCUAGUUGGUAAGGUAAUGGCUUACCAAGGCAACGAUCCGUAACCGGCCUGAGAGGGCGGUCGGUCACACUGACACUGACAUACGGGUCAGACUCCUACGGGAGGCAGCAGUCGGGAAUUUUGGGCAAUGGGCGAAAGCCUGACGCAGCGACGCCGCGUGGGGG